CAACGCCUCCUGCUCUGCUCACUCGGCCGCCACGUGGCAGCCAGGUGAGGGCCUUAGGGUGGUGC
rnacentral:pre_miRNA from 1 species